UGUCCUGACAACACCACGUGUACGGACUCUUCAGUUAAUAACAGGCACCUGUGUCAGUGUUCAGAAGAAGCCACACAAUCAUCUACAGGGCAAUGUCUGGGAAAACCAUCAAAAGUCCAUGUCACCACAGAGGGAGACAGUCCAACCCAAAAUAAGGCUACACGAAGUACAAGACCGACUUCUACGAUUCGAGCAGCGGAUGAAGCCAGCGCAUCAAAGG